rnacentral:rRNA from 1 species
GACGAACGCUGGCGGCGUGCCUAAUACAUGCAAGUUGAGCGCUGAAGGUUGGUACUUGUACCAACUGGAUGAGCAGCGAACGGGUGAGUAACGCGUGGGGAAUCUGCCUUUGAGCGGGGGACAACAUUUGGAAACGAAUGCUAAUACCGCAUAAAAACUUUAAACACAAGUUUUAAGUUUGAAAGAUGCAAUUGCAUCACUCAAAGAUGAUCCCGCGUUGUAUUAGCUAGUUGGUGAGGUAAAGGCUCACCAAGGCGAUGAUACAUAGCCGACCUGAGAGGGUGAUCGGCCACAUUGGGACUGAGACACGGCCCAAACUCCUACGGGAGGCAGCAGUAGGGAAUCUUCGGCAAUGGACGAAAGUCUGACCGAGCAACGCCGCGUGAGUGAAGAAGGUGUUCGGAUCGUAAAACUCUGUUGGUAGAGAAGAACGUUGGUGAGAGUGGAAAGCUCAUCAAGUGACGGUAACUACCAGAAAGGGACGGCUAACUACGUG